rnacentral:rRNA from 1 species
GACGAACGCUGGCGGCGUGCUUAACACAUGCAAGUCGAACGGAAAGGCCCUGCUUGCAGGGUACUCGAGUGGCGAACGGGUGAGUAACACGUGGGUGAUCUGCCCUGCACUUCGGGAUAAGCCGGGGAAACUGGGUCUAAUACCGGAUAGGAGCCAUUUUUAGCGUGAUGGUUGGAAAGUUUUUUCGGUGUAGGAUGAGCUCGCGGCCUAUCAGCUUGUUGGUGGGGUAAUGGCCUACCAAGGCGGCGACGGGUAGCCGGCCUGAGAGGGUGGACGGCCACACUGGGACUGAGAUACGGCCCAGACUCCUACGGGAGGCAGCAGUGGGGAAUAUUGCACAAUGGGCGCAAGCCUGAUGCAGAGACGCCGCGUGGGGGAUGACGGCCCUCGGGUUGUAAACUCCUUUCGAUAGGGACGAAGCUUUUUGUGACGGUACCUAGAUAAGAAGCACCGGCUAACUACGUG